rnacentral:rRNA from 1 species
AUGCACGCUGGCGGCGUGCCUAAUCCAUGCCAGUCGAGCGAACGGACGAGAAGCUUGCUUCUCUGAUGUUAGCGGCGGACGGGUGAGUAACACGUGGAUAACCUACCUAUAAGACUGGGAUAACUUCGGGAAACCGGAGCUAAUACCGGAUAAUAUUUUGAACCGCCUGGUUCAAAAGUGAAAGACGGUCUUGCUGUCACUUAUAGAUGGAUCCGCGCUGCAUUAGCUAGUUGGUAAGGUAACGGCUUACCAAGGCAACGAUGCAUAGCCGACCUGAGAGGGUGAUCGGCCACACUGGAACUGAGACACGGUCCAGACUCCUACGGGAGGCAGCAGUAGGGAAUCUUCCGCAAUGGGCGAAAGCCUGACGGAGCAACGCCGCGUGAGUGAUGAAGGUCUUCGGAUCGUAAAACUCUGUUAUUAGGGAAGAACAUAUGUGUAAGUAACUGUGCACAUCUUGACGGUACCUAAUCAGAAAGCCACGGCUAACUACGUG